GGAUAAAAGGUACUCCGGGGAUAACAGGCUGAUACCGCCCAAGAGUUCAUAUCGACGGCGGUGUUUGGCACCUCGAUGUCGGCUCAUCACAUCCUGGGGCUGAAGUAGGUCCCAAGGGUAUGGCUGUUCGCCAUUUAAAGUGGUACGCGAGCUGGGUUUAGAACGUCGUGAGACAGUUCGGUCCCUAUCUGCCGUGGGCGCUGGAGAACUGAGGGGGGCUGCUCCUAGUACGAGAGGACCGGAGUGGACGCAUCACUGGUGUUCGGGUUGUCAUGCCAAUGGCACUGCCCGGUAGCUAAAUGCGGAAGAGAUAAGUGCUGAAAGCAUCUAAGCACGAAACUUGCCCCGAGAUGAGUUCUCCCUGACCCUUUAAGGGUCCUGAAGGAAC
rnacentral:rRNA from 1 species